UCACAGCAGUCACAGCCUUCACAGCCUUCACAGCAGUCACAGCCUUCACAGCCUUCACAGCAGUCACAGCCUUCACAGCAGUCACAGCCUUCACAGCCUUCACAGCAGUCACAGCCUUCACAGCAGUCACAGCCUUCACAGCAGUCACAGCAGUCACAGCCUUCACAGCAGUCACAGCCGUCACAGCCUUCACAGCAGUCACAGCCUUCACAGCAGUCACAGCCUUCACAGCCGUGGGCGUCUCGGAUGCACUUGAAAGAUGCCACGCGCCGCAUUCCCCUCCACCCACCCACGCCGCUGCGUCCCCCCACCACCCACCAUCCUCCACCGUCUUCCGCGGACCCCGCGUGGCAGCCGCUGAUUAAAGGGGGGUCAACGCGCGCCUUGCCGGGCCGCCCACGGAGACAAAAGUGGGGGGGGGGGCCGCCCUAGCCUCUCGGCCCACCUCUGGCCCCAGCCCCCGUUGGGCGGAUCAUCCCGCGCGCUCGCCGCCUGCAGCAGUCGGAUCCGCUGAAUGGCACCGCGGGGCUGAUAGACGGGAGUAAUCAUCCCCCAAAUGCAUGCGCCAGCAUUUGUUACGACAACCCAAGUCACCCUGAAUGCGCCGCAUCGAGCCCGAUGCUGGAAGCGUAAGUCGGGUUUGAGCUGGGUUCAUACUUGGAUGGGCGACCACUGCCACCACCAGGGCUUGCCAGGUGGCGUUGGCGUGGAGCUGCGAGGUAUGGCCCGGUAGUUGGCCAGUGCUGAGUGUAACCCCCUUGUAAUGUGCGUGUCCCGGGGUUUUCUCCGGGUACGCCAGUUUCCUCUCCCUACGUGCCACUUUUUAACGGAAUUGGCAAAACAUCCCAAAUGGAAGAAGACCCUCCUGAAAAAAAAUGGUCUUGAAAUCUGAGACGUUUCCCCCCGGUAAAUAAUUGACAUUAUCAAUAAACCAUUUUCUAAUUGUCUAAUGUCACUGAAGAAAAAUGUCCGAGGUUUUGGCUUGCGUAGUAAUUGUGAAGUAUUAAACGUGAGGCGCGUUCAUUUAGACCUUCACUCAACAAGGAAAAUGAAGGGCCCCCAGCAAUGGAGGUGGACGCAUCGCAAGUGAGACCUGGCACUAUUUUAAUGGAAAUAAGAAGACCACGAGCAUGCAGAAAGUGCACCGAUGAUUUGCCAGGAUAAUGCCGUGAAGGAGUUGAACUCUGCCCUGGGUAGGUGAGCUGAAACGUCUUGUUGACUCCUUUUUUUGACACCAUCAACGCAGCACCCGGGGCCUUCCCGUGAGAAUGACGAUCAUCUCAACUUGUAGCGUGGACAGCAUUCGACUCGGAAAGGUGCGAGGACCCACGCCGAAAGGGGAAAGACAGCCGGGUGGUGAGCCGGUGUCAAAUGCCUCCCCAAGCUCUGGGGGAUCCUCUAUAUAUACACACACACUUAUCUAUGAAGGUGUUACGGCCAAUUAAUGAGCAUUUACACGUGGGAGUAAACCAGAAACCCACGAGCGUGCAAGGGGGCAACGCUCUAUCCCAUCCAGACGGAAUAGGCGUGGCUCAAAUUUUCCGUACCACCUACCACCAGGUGAACAAAAUGUAAUCGCUGUGAUGAGAAUUCUGACCCGAGUCCGAUGAAAUCAAUUUUGCUUGGACAACAAAAACAAAGAUUCCCCCGUGUAACCCACACAGGCUGUUGGUGGGGCUGUGAGCGAGCACCCGUGAAGGCCGGCACGGCGCAUGGGAGGGUGCUCUGGCCUUCACCAGGGCAGACCAAUUUUGUCUUCCUCGUGGCGAUGUUUACACACUGCACCAUGUGCUCUUUUAAGGCUGAGUCAACAUAGGGGAGGCCCGGAACUGGCUCAGAUAUAUCACCACUGAUGUUAGCCGUGGCCGAGAAUCAAACCAGAUUCGGCAGUGCUGCAACCACUGCGCCGUUGCUCCUCCUGCCUGCUUGGACGCACACACUCGCAUGCACACACGAAAAAGUCACAGGAAAAAGGUGCCUUGGCUAAACCGACUGGCAGAUGCGCACCGCCUGUGCUCACCACCGUGCCAACUCGCUGCGGUUUAUCCACCCCGGCGCUCCGCUCUUUGGCUGUUGAGCUUCGCGCCUCCGCCCUCCAUGGUUGCCCAGGAUCGUCCUUGGUGAGCCUCCUCCACCCCACACACAUUCACACACACGCGGCACAUCUCGUGAGCUCGCGGUGUAAACGUGUCGCAGCCGAGCGGGAGCUGUGCUUUGUUUUCGGCGUGCGCGCGUGCGUGCGUGUCGAGUACGCCGUGACGCAGUGGUUCUUCUUAACCAGGGGGUGCGAGAUGCCCUUUUCUGGGGGUGCGAGACACGGACAGAUCUUUUUGGAAGGUAAAUCAUGGAAACGCAAAUUAAGCACGGGGCACAUAAGUACAACUACUCUGUUUCACCAAACCCUCUGUAGUUAUUAACAUUAAAACAAAUUUUCGAUUGAGAACCAAAGGGGGGUGGGGUGCAAGGCCGCAGUAAAGGUUAAGAACCGCUGCUGUAGCGUAACAAUGAAUUGAGACAGACAGGCCAACUGUUAUCUUGCGGUUCGGAGUGCCCGGUUGUGCCAGGUUAACUCGUUGCCCAGCUCGGCACUGUCGGCCAACGCGGGAAUGAGUAGCCAGGAGCCCCGAGGGAGUUUCAGGAACGCUGCCGUUCCCAGCAGUCGCGAGCGAGGGAGGCGUUCGUCGCAGCUGCCGCUCAAGUCGGAUGCCCGCCGUGGUGUGUUGGUUACAGCGCUGGAUUUGUAAUCCAGAGGUCACCGGUUCAAUUCGAUUUCCAUGGCGCUGCAGUUAAAAAUACCAGCGCGAGUUUUUCUUCAAAAACUCCUCCGCCGCCUAUGUCCACCCAGCAGUGGCGAGUGGAUUCACGACAGCUCGUUGGCUGGUUGCGUGCGGUGUGGGCUCAAGCGUGGGUACUCCCCAACCCUUCUGAGACAGCUGGCCAACGUGGAAGAGUAGGCGAACGUAUCCCUGUUAGAGGGACCCUCUCUCUCUGGCGCUCCAUUUUAGAGUGGAGGCCAGCUGGUGCGUGAGCAAGGAAUUUGCAGGGCUGCGUCUUUUCCCCCUUCUUCCCAUGACAUGUCCCGUGUUUUUGUUUUUGUACCUCCAUAGAGACAACAGCAGGCGUCAGCGGCGCCAGCGGCGCCAGCAGCCCCAUGCGGUAGUCACGGCCCACCACUCGUGUCCCCCCUGCUCGUCGCAAAAUGCCUUUUCCACCGCGGCCGCCCAGAGAGGGCUCGGCAAGCGUCGGCUCAGCGGGGCCCCCGCCACUUGGUGCCGUGCCGCAGCUGGUGUUGUGAAUCAGGCUGAUCCUCUCCUGCUCCUCCGCCGCUUCACAGCACCGGCACGGCACGGCCGCCGCAUCGCCACUGUGCAUCGCACGGCACAGCAGCAGACAGCAGGAGAAAGGCCCAGGAUGGACGUUCUUUAAGAACUUUUCUUGAGGCUGUAAAAUCCUUUGCUGUUGCUCAUCUUUUAUCUCUCUCUCUCUCUCGCCUGUUUGUUUGCUGCUAACAGCUCCCCGGUUUGUUUUCGGGUUGUGCCACGUGUUGUCCGGCGUGAAGUCCGACGUUUCGCUCCGCGUGCUGGGGGUGAACAAAAGGAUUUCGGAGGUAGUUCGGUGAGAUCCACUUCCCUGGACCCUUCGCUAAUGCCGGGAGUUGUUACUGCACUGAUAGCUAUUCCAAUGGAUCUCUUGGGAUGAGAAAAUGUGUUGAUGAUGUGAUAUCAAACAGCUGCUCUCUCUGACGUGUAACAAGUUAACUUCUUUAACAAAGCUAAUUUUUUUGCUGCUAUUUUUGUAAAGUGCACAAAACGUGAAUGUAACGGAACCGUAUCCUGGUGAUAAGAGGUCUUCAUCCGAUCGCGUUUAUUGAGCAAGUGUUCACAUUUUUCAACAAACAAUCAGGUCGCCAUACAUCGCGAGCCACGAAAUAAAUUCGCACUCUAAACGAGAA